GGGCAUAUGCAGGACGAGCUGUCUGCCCUCCCCUUUCCCAUGUGAAAGCAGGGCAUAAACUCCCCUGUGAAGGUUCCCCCUCUCCACGCCAGGAGGGGAGAGUGACUCUUCUCACUGGAGAGGGAGUGAGCGUGAACAAACCUUGCUAAACUCACCCUCACCUUCUGUUAGCGUCCCCCAUAUGUUCCCAGCCACCUCUCCAUGAUUUGCCGUCCAUGAAGCCCAAACCCCCUUUUCUCUGUUAAAAUGGCAGGUAAGCCCCUGAGUCUAACCAUUCCUUUGAGUUUCACUUGUUUUCUGUAAAUUUUCAUCCACAUAGAACAUUUAUUUAAACAAUUUAAAUUAUUUAAUUCAUUAAGUUUUGUAAAGACGGGGUCUUGCUAUGUUGCCCAGGCUGGUCUUGAACUCUUUACCUCAAGCAAUCCACCUGCCUCAGCCUCCCAAAGUGCUGGGAUUAAGGGUGUGAGCCACCGCACCACUCAGCCACAUUAAUUUUUUUAAAAUUGUUUGCCUUUUUCCUGUUUAUCUGUCUUUUUAAAGUUUAAUUUGCAGGGCCCCAGGCACUGAACAUAAGAGGACAGAUGAAAAGUUCUUCCACUUAGAAAGUUGUGACAGCCACAAGGGGCUCACUCUGGAGGCUGCAGCCGAGGUCUCAGGACACUGAUCAUGCUGACGAAAGGAGGAAUUCUUACCACACCAGCCCCCCACAAUUCUGCUCAGAAUCUGGUCAAGCGAGAGCGGUAAGACUGACUCCAGUCUUGGCCUUGCACCUCCCCUGAGCGGCUAGAGCUUCUUCCUCCCAUCACUCCUCCUUGCACGGCCUCUUACCACUGCAUUUAUUAAAAAGCAGAGAAUCUGGAGGGUGCUGAUCCUGGAGCACAAGCCCACAUCCACCCAGCUGCCCUGAGGCUCACGAGAGGCAGAAGAACCGUGAGCCACGCUGAGCCGAGCCCACUCUUGAAAAUGUCCUCAGUAAAGCCUGAUUGGUGUCCGCACUGCAGGACACUGCGUUACUUGCAUUUGCAGGUGGUGCCAGUGGGGACAAUUGCCCCCCACCCCUGAAUAUGGGUUUUUGGGAGUGUGGACCAGCUGAGCUGAUCGGGGGCGGGCAGACUCCCUCUUGUGCUGGUGGACAGCUUGCCUGGUUGGGGUUGUCACUGACCAUGUGGAGAUGGGAUUGUGUUGAGUAUCACAGAAGCCCUUGACGCGGAAGUGUGCAGGAGCUUUGCGGAAAGCAGAGUCCAUCUCCUUGACCCUCCUGGCUGUUUGGAUGUUCGAGUCCCCCGCAGGGCAUUUUCCUCAUGGCUGGAACAGCCUGGCCCUUCUCACUGGAAGCCUGUUUUCAGGAAAUAUUCUGCUCAGGGGAUCAUUGUGGGGAGACUGGGCUCAUGCCCCAUCACAGAAGAGACUCCUCUGGGGCCCAAAUGCAAACUGGAGUAGCCCAAGGAGGCUGAGGGAGCUUUCCUCCACCUCAGCCAUCUGCCCUCGACUAAGGAAGCGGCAGGCUUGAGUGGACUGCUCCCGGGAAGCCACUUUCAUGGCGUCCCCUCUCCAGGGUGCCCAUCUACCUGGAGCGUCAUCAUCGUCACUGCUGGAGUCUUGUCUCCUGUUGCCAAUCCAAGCUCUGGAGACACAAGUACCACAAGAAAGGUGUUACCCAGAGGCACUCGCCCAUCCUCCCUGCUGCACCGGAGGCCACACCAGCUGCCACAGCAACUCCCUGCUCCGUCCUCUGCUUUCUCAGAACUAACCUGGGCUCUCUGGAAUCAGAGACCUUCAACAAGUCACUGCUCACAUUUGCAAAUGUUCACGUCAAGAGAGGACCCCCUUUCCACGUGCCACUCCCCUCUCUUCCGGAUCAUUGCAGCUCUCCCCACCAGCCUUAUCAAUGUGGGGCUCCAACCCUACAGGUCAGUGAUUCACAAACAGGCACUGUCCCAGGUUGGAGCCACUGCCACGAGCCUGUUCUGCACAGACGGGAAUGUUUCCUCUGCCUUGUGAGCGCAGGGCUAUCGGGCACUGGAAAUAUGCCUGAUGUGAUGAGGUACUGGAGAUUACAUUUGAAAAUUAAUUUAAAAUACAGAUGCACCUGGUUAAUGACUGUGGCACCAGGGAGUCCAGAACUGGGAUUCAGAGAUGAGGGAGACGUCACCUCCCCGCCUCUGGGUUUUCCUUCCAGUGUAGCCAUCAAUGGCCUAGUGUUAUCUUUCAUCCAGUACGUACUUCCUGGGCACAGGCAUAAGUAUCCAGUGCUCUGUGAGACCCUAGGGGUGCUGAACACUGAGUCACAUCCAGGUCCUAGAGGGGUUCACAUCUGGGGGCGAUGUGUAAACAGAGUGAAGGGCAUGGCCAGCAAAUCCUGUGCUGGAAAAUCAGGGCAGCUGGAGUGAGGGGAGGGGACACCCCACUGUCCCCAGGAGCCCACACACCAGCCGAAUUUGGCUUUUAAUUCACCUUUCUUGUGAUGUCUUUUGCUGAAUUUGCUGUCAUGAUUGUCCCGAUUAAAAGAGAGCAUUGUGUGUUCCCUCUAUAUCCAGAAGUGUGCAUGCAAGAUUGGAGUUACUUCUAUUUAAAAUAUGUGAUGGACUCAGAGGGGACAGUAAGGAUGGAAGUUUGCGUAUGGAAAAAUAGUUUGCGUUACUUUGUUUUUAUUUGAUGGUUGCUUUACUUGUGGUGCAGUGCACAGUAUAUUACCUGUACAGAUUGUUGCCUUCUGACAAACACUGUGUUACCACCGCCCAGAUAUGAACACCCUGGCAGCCGCUCUUUGGCUAAUUCCUAGGCAGUAACUUCCAAGAGACACUCACUAUUCUGGUCAUGAUCAACAUAUUUUAAAUUUAUUUUUAAACACUGUAUAAAUGGAAACCUACAGUAUGUACUCUUUUGUGCCUGAAUGAAAAUUACACGUGAAUAUCAUGUAAAUUUCACCUAUGUUCCAUUGUGAUGACACAUUCAGCAUUUUGUACUGCUCGGUCCUGUCCAUAUAUAACAUCUACAUUGUAGGAAGUUGGCACAAUGAGUUUUCACCCUCUAUGUUUUACAUUCACUCUGUUUAUCAUGAUGGUUAUAAGGGAGGAGACCUCCCCUUAUAUUGUCUUAUGCCCAAUUUCUGCCUCCAAAGAAAGAAGAAGUAAAAACUAAAAGGCAGAAAUGAAAUCCACAAGCAGACAGCCCAGCACCACACCCUGGGCCUGGUAGUUAAAGGUUGACCCCUGACCUAAUCGGUUAUGUUAUCUAUAGAUUACAGAGAUUGUAUAGAAAAGCACUGUGAAAAUCCCUGUCCUGUUCUGUUCCAUUCUAAUUACCGGUGCAUGCAGCCCCCAGUCACGUACCCCCUGCUUGCUCAAUCGAUCAUGACCUUCUUACGCAGACACUUUUAGAGUUGUGAGCCCUUAAAAGGGACAGGAAUUGCUCACUCGGGGAGCUCAGUUGUUGGAGACGUGAGUCUUGCCGAAGCUCCCAGCUGAAUAAAGCCGUUCCUGCUUU
rnacentral:lncRNA from 10 species